GGCUUGGGGGGCGGUCGUGGACCAGACUCCUGGGGGCCUCGAGGGGCUGGGGUCUGUCUCCCCCCGAGACUGGUGACGGAAUAAGGCAGCCCCUCUCUGGGCCCAGCGGGAGGCCUGCCUUCCUUCCUGCCCGCCCCGGCCCUGCCACCCCCCACAUCAGGACACAAUGUCCCUGGCAGGCCCAGAUGGGACUGUCACAGCAAGGCCGCCUUCAGCCUCCUUCUGAGGGAUGAUGGUGCGGUCCGCGAAGGCCCCACGCUCAGAUCUCUGGUGGGGAGGCCAGGCUGCCACCGUGAUGGAGCGGCUGUCCAUCCUGCCCUUGCCCUCGGGAGGCCCUCACGAUUGAUGUGCAGGGGCCCGGAGCCUUGAGCGUCAAGGGAGGGACGUCAGCCCGCCCAAGGCCUUGGCCUGUCCCACCGCCUGGCCCUGCGGUGCAGGGACUGGGCUCCGUCCUGCAGGCACCUUCCUGCGGGCACCUUCCUGCGGGCCCUCCUGCUCCGCUACCCUGUGACUUGGGGCAGGCCCAGUCCUAGCACUCCCGGCGGCGGGAGGCGGCGCUCCAGUUGAGGCUCGCCGAGUGCGGAGCCCAGCGCGGGCAGGCAGCUGGCAGUGGGCUCCAGGACUGAGUGGGCUGCAGUGGCCAGAGCUCCCAGUGGCGGAGGCGGUACCUGCCCCCCACCCGCAAAGUGAGCCCAGCAACUGUGCAGGGAACGGGGGCGGGGCUCCCCAGGGAUGCAGCCGCCACAGGCGCCACCGACUUGGUGGGUUUGGGGAAUGACCUUCUUGCAAGCAAAUGUCAAACACGAGGUUCCAGAAAGUGACUCCCUGGGCUGGGGGGCAGGUGGGGGUGACGUCGUGCUUGGGGCAGCUCAGUAGACUCUUGUGGGCUCAGUUGGGUCCAACUCUGUGCGACCCUGGGGCCUGUAGCCUGCCAAGCUCCUCUCUUCAUGGAAUUAUCCAGGGAAGAAUACUGGAGUGGGUAGCCAUGCCCUCCUCCAGGGAGUCUUCUCAACCCAGGGAUCGAAGCCACGUCUGCAUUGGAGGCGAAUUCUUAACUGUCUGAGGCACCUAGGAAGCCCCCUGACUUAUGGGUACUUGUUGCGUUUUCCAAUGAACACACGGCAUGACAGAGGACCACCGGAACCGAGCCAAAUGGGCAAACACCCAGCCAACGCAGCUCGGCCUGGCUCCACACCCCUCUGCCACCCCCUGAGGGUGGUGCUCCCGGCUGACCUCAGUGUCCCUGCAGCUAUGUGGACAUGGGCCCAAUCCGGGAAGCACGUAGUCCAGCAGCGGGCAAGUGUUGAGGGCUCUGCCUUCUAGAAAGUUCUCUGCAGCCUGGAGAAUGGUCGAGGCUGGAGGCUGUCACCCCUGGGGGCGGGGUCGGGGGGGAAGCGGCAGUGGGUGGAGAGAGAUUCAAGAGGCAGAGCCCCCAGGACGCCGUGGACCAGAGAGACGGGGCACUCAGGCCUGUGCCCAGAGUGGGUGCAGGGCUGGCUCUGCGAGGGGAGGAUGUGGCUGCUCGCAGACAGACAGCUGGGUGCAGGGGUCCGGGCUGAAGACGGGGUCUCAGCCCUGGCAACAGAUGAGGGAGGCAGCGGCUCCUGGAGCGUCCAAGGUGGACGCUGCCCGGGAAGGAGCCCCAAGGACAGGAGGAGGGCAGCAAGACGUGCAGGGGACGUGCCCCCCCGGGGGUGAUGCUGGAGGUCAGGGAGGGACGCAGCCACAGCAAGUCCCGGGGAACCUGGCUCGUCUGGGCCAGGGAGCCGGGUGAGGCUGGAGGAGCCUGGCUGGAUGCUCCUGGCUGGUGCGGGGUGUGUAUGGGUUUGGGCCUGCAGCUCACUCCAUGCUGCCCUUGGGGAAUGCCCAGACACUGGGGUCUUGGUCCCUGCACCGACCCCCAGGAAGUGACCAGGGCUCAGGGGCGGAUGGCUGAGCGCAGGGGCAUGGGUGCACAGAGAGCCAGGACCGUCUCGGGGCCGGAAAGGAAAAGGGCAGAGCAAAGACAGAGCAAAGCAAUUGAGGGGAGGUGGUCGGCAGGCAUGCGGUGGCCGGUGAGAGCUCAGCGGUGGACUGAGGUUGAGUCUGCACUGUGGUCAGGGGAGAGGGCUGCUCCUGUGAGUCCUUAGGAGUAGAGGAGACUGGAAGAGGGACAGAGAGAUGGCAGGUGCCGGGGCUGAGGAUGCGCAGGGCCUCCGAGGGUCAGUCUUAAAACUUUUCUGCCUGCUUGAAAUAAUUUCCUCCCAAUUAAACCUUUUUUUUUUUUUAAAAAAAAAAAAAAGUCAAACCAAGAAAACUCUUAAACAAUGGCAAAAUGGUUGUUCUUCAGUUGCUCAGUUGUACCUGACUCUGAGACCCCAUGGACCGCAGCACGCCAGGCUUCCCUGUCCUUUACUAUCCCUUGGCUUUGCUCAAAUUCCUGUCCAUCGAGUCAGUGAUGCCAUCCAGCCGUUGUUCUCUGUCGCCCCCUCCUCUUUGCCGGUAUCAGGGUCUUUUCCAGUGUGUCGGCUCUCUGUAUCAGGUGACCAAAGUACUGUUGCUUCAGCCCUUCCAAUGGAUAUUCAGGAUUCAUUUCCUCUAGGAUGGACUGGUUUGAUCUCCUUGGUGUCCAAGGGACUCUCAAAAGUCUCCUCCAACACCACAGUUUGAAAGCAUCAAUUGUUCGUCACUCAGCCUUCUUUAUGGUCCGACUCUCACAUCAGUACAUGACUACCGGGAAAACCGCAGCUUUGACGAGGCAGACCUUUGUCGAGAAAGUGACGUCUCUGCUUUUUAAGACACUGUCUAGGUUUGUCUCGCUUUUCUUUCAAGGAGUAAGCAUCUUCCAGUUCCACGGCUGCAGUCACCAUCUGCAGGGAUUUGGGAGCCCCUGAAAAUAAAGUCUGUCCCUUGAUGAUGGGAGGCGGGGGACCCGGACAGGGGUCUCGGGAGGGUCCCGGGCCCACCCUUCUUCAGCAGGUCGGGUGAGUGUGGUGGGCCAAGGAGGCAAGGCAGGGUGGGAGGUGCCAGCCUCAGGGACGGGACGCUGCCAGGGGUCCACUCGGGAGUGGACAGAGCCCUGUGGACUCGGAUGGGCUGUGGCCCCUGCGUUCCCUGCAGCUGUGAGACAGGCUUCCCUCCCCCUUCACCUGCACCCUCACCUCGCCAAGGAAAAGCCAGGGGAGCGUCCACCUGGGGCGCCCAUGGGGCUUCACCUCUUUAGCUUAGCCCCUGGCAACCUGUCCACCUCUGUCCCCUCUGGUCCCCAAAUACCAGCUUCAUCUGGGCCCAGACUUGCUCCCCCUCCAGCUCCAGCCCUGGGCCUCCUUGUCACCCUCCUUCCUGACCUCCACUCACUCCCCUUCACAGCUGGUUGGCCUUGGUUUACCCAAAAAUGAAAUGGGUUUGCAGGUGAGUAUACCUGCCUCACAGGACAGACAGGUGAGGACGGAGCUCUGACUCCUUCUGGGAGUCCUCCCAGCUUCCCCAGUCACUGCUCCACGACACACCUGCCUCAGCGCCAGGCCGAGAAGGCUCUCUCUCCUGGCCUCCACCUAGAAGCCUUCAGUGAGCCCUCGGGACUGAGGGCACACGGUCUGGGCCAUAAUGACCUUGUGUAGAGGGGAGAUAUCCUCAGCUGGGGCAGGAGUUUGCAUGCCCACUGUCCACACUGGGCCCCCAAGGCUCUGCUCAUGUCUGGCCCCACCUCCCGACCACCCCAUCACCAAUGUCCUUGCCAGACUCCUGGCCUUCAUCCUCCAUUGUCCUGCGGGGCCUGGGGAAGACCUCCAGAUGGCCUCCCCCCGCUGUGAAUCCAGAUGGCUGGGACAAAUAUCAAUAACCUCAGAUACGAAGGUGAUAGCACUCUCAGGGUGGUAUCGUGGACCCUCCACCCGGAAUCCUUCGCAGCCAGCCUGGGGCCUUCCCCCUCCUCGCGGCUUCUCCUUCCGGAGCCCUGCUCCUUGAGGCUCUCGUUCCGUCGCUCAGUCAUGUCCGACUCUUAGGGACCCCGUGGGCUGCAGCACCCCAGGCUCUCCUGUCCUCUCUGUCUCCUGGAAUUUGUUUAAACUCAUGUCCAUUGAGUCGGUGAUGCCAUCCAACCAUCUCAUCCUCUGCCCUCCGCUUCUUUUGCCUCAAUCUUUCCCAACAAGUUGGCUUUUUGCACCAGGUGGCCAAAGUAUUGGAGUUUUAGCUUCAGCAUCAGUCCUUCUAAUGAAUAUUCAGGGUUGGUUUCCAGGGCACUCUCAAGAGUCUUUUUCCAGCACCACAGUUUGAAAGCAUCAAUUCUUCAGCGUUCGGCCCUUUUUAUGGUCCAACUCUCACAUCCAUACACGACUAUUUGAAAAACCAUAGCUUUGACUAUUCAGAUCCUUGUCAGCAAAGUGACAUCUCUGCUUUUUAAUACACGGUCUAGGCUUGUCAUAAGUUUCCUUUAAAGAAGCAAGCACCUUCUGAUUUCAUGGCUGCAGUCACCAUCUGUAGUGAUUUCAAACCCAAGAGAGAAAACUGGUCACUGCUUCUACUCACCCUUCUAUUUGCCAUGAAGAGAUGGGACUGGACGCCAUGGUCUUCAUUUUUUGAAUGUUGAGUUUUAAGUCAGCUUUUUUACCCUCCUCUUUCGCCCUCAUUAAGAGGCUCUUUAGCUCUUCUUCUCUUUCUACCAUUAGAGUGGUAUCAUCUGCAUAUCUGGGGUUGUUGAUAUUUCUCCAGGCAAUCCAGAUUCCAGCUUGUGCUUUAUCCAGCCCGGCAUUUCACAUGAUGUACUCAGAAUAUAAGGUUUCUCGGGAGACAGAUAAGGCGGUCUGGUAGUCCCAUCUCUUGAAGAAUUUUCUACAGUUUGUUGUGAUCCACACAGUCAAAGGCCUUCUUGUAGUCAAUGAAGCAGAAGUAGAUGUUUUUCUGGAAUUCCUGUGCUUUUUCUAUUAUCCAAUGAAUGUUGGCAAUUUGAUCUCUGGUUCCUCUGCCUUUUCUAAAGCUCAUACAUCUGGAAGAUUUUGGUUCACAUACUGCUGAAGCCUAGCUUGGAGGAUUUUGAGCACGGCCUUGCCAGCAGGUGAAACGAGUGUACCUGGACAGUAGUUUGAAUCUUCUUUGGCUUUGUGACAGUUUCAGGCUCACUGGAGCUGCCCGCCUUGCAGGGAGACCCAGCCAGGUGCCCAGGAGUCCCAGCCACACCCCUCAGCCUGACCCCCAGCCCCAC
ensembl:lncRNA